UACAGAGGAUGCAAGCGUUAUCCGGAAUGAUUGGGCGUAAAGCGUCUGUAGGUGGCUUUUUAAGUCCGCCGUCAAAUCCCAGGGCUCAACUCUGGACAGGCGGUGGAAACUACCAAGCUGGAGUACGGUAGGGGCAGAGGGAAUUUCCGGUGGAGCGGUGAAAUGCGUAGAGAUCGGAAAGAACACCAACGGCGAAAGCGACGUGCUGGACCUCUUCUGACGCUGAGGCGCGAAAGCCAGGGGAGCAAACGGG
rnacentral:rRNA from 1 species